GGUGAUGAUGACAAACGGGUCUGCUGAUGCGUGAUGACCCGUUGGAGCGCUGACC
rnacentral:snoRNA from 1 species